GACAGUGACACCUGAGCCCCAGGUGAACGAACCCCAGAACUGCACAGCUGGACAGGUGUGGGCCCCAAACUCUGCAUCACCUGAGCCCCAGGUGGAAGGACUCGGUACCUGCGAGCCCAGACAGGUGUGGGCCCCAAAAGUGGAGACUGGACCCCAUAAAGGUGCAUCAGCAACACCUGGACAGCGACACCUGAGCCACAGGUGAGGGGACUCCAGAACUGCACGCCUGGACAGGUGUGGACCCCAAAAAUGAAAUUCAGAGCCCAAAACUGCAGCAGCAACACCUGGACAGCGACACCUGAGCCCCAGUUGAGGGGACUCCAAAACCACACACCUGGACAGGUGUGGACCCCAAAAAUGGAGUUCGGAGCCCAAAACUGCAGCAGCAACACCUGGACUGAGACACCUGAGCCCCAGGUGAAGGAACCCCAGAACUGCACACCUGGACAGGUGUGGACCCCAAAAAUGGAGUUUGGACCCCAAAACUGCAGCAGCAACACCUGGACAGUGACACCUGAGCCCCAGGUGAGGGGACUCCAGAACUGCACACCUGGACAGGUGUGGAACCCGAAACUGCAGCAGCAACACCUGGACUGAGACACCUGAGCCCCAGGUGGAAGGUCUCGGUACCUGCGAGCCCAGACAGGUGUGGGCCCCAAAAAUGGAGUUCGGAGCCCAAAACUGCAGCAGCAACACCUGGACAGUGACACCUGAGCCCCAGGUGAGGGACCCCCGGGCAGGUGCGGACCCCAAACUCUGCCACACCUGGGGCACAGGUGAGGGGUGACACCUGAGCUGUGACGUCACCGAGAGCGGAGGAGGAACCGCCAGCGUUCACCUGUGGGCAGGUGUGACCCCGGCGCUGCGAGGCCUCACCUGGGCACUCACCUGGGCCCAGCAGGGACAGGUGUGGCUUUGGGGAGCUCCAGGUACACCUGGAUGGGGCGGGGCACACCUGGAUGGGGCAGGGCACACCUGGAUGGGGCAGGUGAACACCUGGAUGGAGCAGUGAACACCUGGAUGGGGCAGGUGAACACCUGGAUGGGG
rnacentral:lncRNA from 1 species